ACGACUCUCGGCAACGGAUAUCUCGGCUCUCGCAUCGAUGAAGAACGUAGCGAAAUGCGAUACUUGGUGUGAAUUGCAGAAUCCCGUGAACCAUCGAGUCUUUGAACGCAAGUUGCGCCCGAUGCCAUCAGGUUGAGGGCACGUCUGCCUGGGCGUCACGC
rnacentral:rRNA from 3 species